rnacentral:rRNA from 1 species
AUUGAACGUUGUCGGCAGGCCUAACACAUGCAAGUCGAACGAUUGGCGGACGGGUGAGUAAUGUCUGUGAAACUGCCCGUUUUAGUGGGAUAACUACUGGAAACGGUAGCUACUACCGCAUACCCUCUGAUGUGCCCAGAUGGGAUUCGCUAGUAGGUGGGGUAACGGCUCACCUAGGCGACGAUCCCUAGCUGGUCUGAGAGGAUGACCAGCCACACUGGAACUGAGACACGGUCCAGACUCCUACGAGAGGCAGCAGUGGGGAAUAUUGCACAAUGGGCGCAAGCCUGAUACAGCCAUGCCGCGUGUAUGAAGAAGGCCUUCGGGUUGUAAAGUACUUUCAGCGAGGAGGCGUUACUCGCAGAAGAAGCACCGGCUAACUCCGUGCCAGCAGCCGCGGUAAUUC